GAUGAAGAACGUAGCGAAAUGCGAGAAGUAAUGUGAAUUGCAGAAUUCAGUGAAUCAUCGAAUCUUUGAACGCACAUUGCGCCCGCCAGUAUUCUGGCGGGCAUGCCUGUUCGAGCGUCAUUUCAACCAUCAAGCCCCCGGCUUGUGUUGGGGACCUGCGGCUGCCGCAGGCCCUGAAAAGCAGUGGCGGGCUCGCUGUCACACCGAGCGUAGUAGCAUACAUCUCGCUCUGGGCGUGCUGCGGGUUCCGGCCGUUAAACCACCUUCAUAACCCAAGGUUGACCUCGGAUCAGGUAGGAAGACCCGCUGAACUUAAGCAUAUCAAUAAGCGGAGGA
rnacentral:misc_RNA from 1 species